rnacentral:lncRNA from 1 species
UUUUAAUUGAAUAAAAGAUGCCAAACAAAAUAAUUUGGUCGGAAUUUUCUUUUGGUCUCUAUUGAAUUACAGAUAAAAGCAGCUACAUAGUUUAGCUAUAGAAAGAUGAUAAUGAAAACCUUUUCACCAUUCCAAACGUAUGACAAGUUAAAUAUCCUUUUUCAUGUUACAAUUAUGGUCGAUGAGAGGAAUAGAAUAAAAUGGGUGGAAUUUUUCCAUUAACA